rnacentral:lncRNA from 1 species
AAGAGAACCAGAAGUCCAAGGCCAUCUUUAGCUACAUAGUGAACUGGAGGCCAGCCUUAGCUGGCUACAGUGAGACCUUGUAUCAAAAUUCAAAAUAAAAUGAGCAUAGUAGUGCAGAAGUUUUAACCCAGGACUUGGGAGGCAAAGGCAGAUGAAUUUCUGUGAGUUUCAAGCCAGUCGGAUUUACAAGGAACUUCCAAGCCAGCCAGAGCUACAUGUAUGCAUCAGUGCCUUCGGAAUCCAGAUGAAGGCAUCGGAUCCCCUGGAACUGGACGACGUGAGCUGCCAUGUGGGUGCUAUUGAACUGAGGUGCUACGGAAGAGCAACCACUGCUCUUAACCCCUGAUCCAUCUCAUCUCCCCAGCCCCCAAACUUUUAAACCUAAUGUUUCAAUAAAGUCUUGUUCCUCUUGAAAAAAAAAAAGAAGAUAUGGAGGAGUUGUGGCCUUGUUGGGAGAAGUUGUGUCACUGUGGGUGUGGACUUAAGACCCUUACCCCAGCUGCCUGGAAGUCAGUCUUCCACUAGCAGCCUUCAGAUGAAGAUGUAGAACUCUCAGCUCUGCCUGCACCAUGCCUGCCUGGAUGCUGCCAUGUCCACCUUGAAGAUAAUGGACUGAACUUCUGAACCUGUAAACCAGACCCAAUUAAAUAUUGUCUAUGAAUUGCCUUGGUCAUGGUGUCUGUUCACAGCAGUAAAACUCUAACUAAGACACCCUCUCAACUCAAGAGGAAUGUCAGAGUUAUAGGAAGGCCUGCUUCAUCUUGUCUCUGGGCCCACCUCAUCCCACUUCCACCCCCUACUCCUCCCCACCCCUUACCACCACCACUGCCCAGUCAUCUAGAUCUUCUCUUUACCAGCCAGUUGUUCCUUUAGCUGGUCAUGAAUGUCUCAGGAUGCUGACACUGUAAAACCAGGGGGACCUGGCACAUGAGUAAG